GAUGAACGCUAGCUACAGGCUUAACACAUGCAAGUCGAGGGGAAACGACAUCGAAAGCUUGCUUUUGAUGGCGACCGGCGCACGGGUGAGUAACGCGUAUCCAACCUUCCCCUGUCCACGGGAUAGCCCGUCGAAAGGCGGAUUAAUACCGUAUGAGGUCACACGAUGGCAUCAGACUGUGACGAAAGGUUUGGCGGACAGGGAUGGGGAUGCGUCCGAUUAGGUAGUCGGCGGGGUAACGGCCCACCGAGCCGACGAUCGGUAGGGGUUCUGAGAGGAAGGUCCCCCCACAUUGGAACUGAGACACGGUCCAAACUCCUACGGGAGGCAGCAGUGAGGAAUAUUGGUCAAUGGGCGAAAGCCUGAACCAGCCAAGUAGCGUGCAGGAUGACGGCCCUCUGGGUUGUAAACUGCUUUUAGUCGGGAAUAAAAUGCGGCACGUGUGCCGCUUUGCAUGUACCGUCAGAAAAAGGACCGGCUAAUUCCGUG
rnacentral:rRNA from 1 species